UCAGGAGCUAUGGCCAGGGCAGGCCCAGACUCCAGCAUACCCACUCCUGCUCCCACCUUCCUCUGCCUGGCACUGCCACCUCCUUGACAGUGUUCUCUGCAUGGUCCCCAACCCUCAGCUGAGACUGCAUGGCCAGCUCCACCCCCAGGAUUGCUGCUCUGCGGGGAAACGUGGGAGCUGCCUUGGGGAGCCUGGCCCUCUACACCCCACCCAGGGUACCUGGCCCAGGUGAGAAGCUGUACCCCAACCUCCUCAUGCCCCCUUUUUCUCUCUAGCCUCAGGGUGCUUUCCUGAAGUCCUGCCCUGAGCCCCAACCCAACCCUGAGGAGGGGGCCCUCUGGAGCUCGGGUGCCCCCGGCCCCGCAGGGAGAGAUGAUUGACAGGAUCGAGUACAAUGUGGAACACGCGGUAGACUAUGUGGAGAGGGCUGUGUCUGACACCAAGAAGGCCGUCAAGUACCAGAGCAAGGCGCGCCGGAAGAAAAUUAUGAUCAUCAUCUGCUGUGUGAUCCUGGGCAUCGUCAUCGCCUCCACUGUUGGGGGCAUCUUCGCCUAGAAGCCACCCAAACUGCCACUCCACUCCAGGUGGGCCACUCCAAGGAGGCCCUGGCUGCUGCCACCUGGCUGGGCUGCCCUCCCAACCCCCG
rnacentral:sRNA from 1 species